rnacentral:rRNA from 1 species
UACGUAGGGUGCAAGCGUUGUCCGGAAUUAUUGGGCGUAAAGAGCUCGUAGGCGGCUUGUCACGUCGACUGUGAAAACCCGGGGCUCAACUCCGGGCCUGCAGUCGAUACGGGCAGACUAGAGUGCGGUAGGGGAGACUGGAAUUCCUGGUGUAGCGGUGAAAUGCGCAGAUAUCAGGAGGAACACCGGUGGCGAAGGCGGGUCUCUGGGCCGUAACUGACGCUGAGGAGCGAAAGCGUGGGGAGCGAACAGG